CGGGGGCUGCACACCCUCCCACCCAGUGGCUGGGGUCCCGCAGCCCCUCUCCGUCCCAUGAAGGGUGUCUGGACCUCAGGAGUCAGGGAGCAAUCUCCUCUCUCCCGCGGGCCCAGACUCUCUGUGAGAGGGGUCUGGGGAGGGUAGAAGGGGGGCACCAAGGGAAGUCAGCUUGGGUAGGGGUGAGAGGAGAGAGGCGGGAGGGCAGAGAGACCUAUGGGGGGAAGGUAGGAGGAGCACAGAGGAGGGGGCAAGGGGAGAGGCGGACUGGCCAGGAGGGGUGGCCGGGAAUGCAGAGGAGGAAGGAGUGGGAAGGCCGGAAGAGGGGAAAGGAUAGAGAAACGGCAGCAGAGAGACUCCAAGGAGUCAGAGACAAGCGAGACAGAGACACAUGUAGACAGAGAUAGGGACUCAGCGAGAGAGUGGGAGUGACAGAGAGCCACAGGAAGACACAGCAAGAAAUACAGAGUGACAGAAACAAGCAGAGAGAGAGAGGCACAGGGAGACAGAGACACAGAGAUACGGAGCCAGAGAGAGACGAGACAGCCCCAGAGAGACACAGAGAGAGAUACAGAGACUCAGCCGGAGCCAGAAGGUAUCCUACCAGCCAACCAUUCUCCUUUGCCGCUCAUGCAGCCAUCUGUCCUCCCAUCCUUCACUGGUCCAUCCAUCCACCCACCCAUCCAUCCAUCCAUCCAUCCUCCCAUCCACUUUGGCCUCUAUGAGGAUGGUGCCAUCUGGGUCAGCUCUGCUGGGACCAGGCAUAACUGCCCCGAGAGGCCCCAAGAAAGCAGAGGACCAAAGGUGAAGAGUGUAAAAUAAUUGAGACCAGACACCUCCACGGGGACUGAGAUCGAAGCAGCUGAACCAGCUAUCACCUGCCCCUCUUCAUCCCCGGCUGUGAGACGAUGGUGGCACAGAGCAGGAGAGAAAGUCGGCAGAAUCUGUUUGAGAUGCAGUGACUGGAGAAAAAUAAAACUGUCCCGUGUUUCUUCCUCAAAUUCACAGCAUGCACGGGGCUACCUGACUCAGCUCUCUCUGCACCCAGGGUUCUCAUAAAAAACAAAUUAUUCAAUAAACACUUGCUAAGCACCCACUAUACAGCAGGUACUAGAACACAGGUGGAUAAGGCGGAGACGCUGCCUCCCUUCAUCGGCUAACACUCUAGACCAGCACAGCCCAAGAGACAUGUAGUGUGAGCCACACGUGUAAUUUUAAAUUUUCUAGUCGCCACAUUAAAAAAGUAGAAACAGGUGGUUAAAAAUGUU